GACAGAGGGUGCAAACGUGUUCGGAAUUACUGGGCGUAAAGCGCGUGUAGGCGGCUAAGUAAGUCGGGCGUGAAAUCCCACGGCUCAACCGUGGAAGUGCACUCGAAACUGCAUAGCUAGAGUCCUGGAGAGGAAGGUGGAAUGCUUGGUGUAGAGGUGAAAUUCGUAGAUAUCAAGCGGAACACCGGUGGCGAAGGCGGCCUUCUGGACAGUGACUGACGCUGAGACGCGAAAGCGUGGGGAGCAAACAGGG
rnacentral:rRNA from 1 species